UACGUAGGGUGCAAGCGUUGUCCGGAAUUAUUGGGCGUCAAGAGCUCGUCGGCGGCUUGUUGCGUCAGCUGUGAAAACCCGCAGCUCAACUGUGGGCUUGCAGCUGAUACGGGCAGGCUUGAGUUCGGUAGGGGAGACUGGAAUUCCUGGUGUAGCGGUGAAAUGCGCAGAUAUCAGGAGGAACACCGGUGGCGAAGGCGGGUCUCUGGGCCGAUACUGACGCUGAGGAGCGAAAGCGUGGGGAGCGAACAGG
rnacentral:rRNA from 1 species